rnacentral:rRNA from 1 species
UACGGGGGGGGCAAGCGUUGUUCGGAAUUACUGGGCGUAAAGGGCUCGUAGGUGGCCAACUAAGUCAGACGUGAAAUCCCUCGGCUUAACCGGGGAACUGCGUCUGAUACUGGAUGGCUUGAGUUUGGGAGAGGGAUGCGGAAUUCCAGGUGUAGCGGUGAAAUGCGUAGAUAUCGGGAGGAACACCGGUGGCGAAGGCGGUUCUCUGGGCCUUACCUGACGCUGAGGAGCGAAAGCGUGGGGAGCGAACAGG